GUAUUCCCUCGCGACCAGCCUGUGGCGUGGUUGGGGCUCCGGAAGGGCGCGCGCGAGCGCUUUUUUGGGAGGACACCACAGGUGGAUGCCUCAGCUGAUCGUCCUCCCUCCCGGGGACCCUGCCCCGAGUCGCCGAGUAGCCGCAGAGUCGCCUCCGUCGCCCCGCCGCCCCUGUGUUUCGGACAUGGCCGCGCGCCUUCUCCGAGGGUCCCUACGCGUCCUGGGCGGCCACCGUGCGCCGCGCCAGCUGCCCGCCGCGCGAUGUUCUCAUUCCGGAGGGGAAGAACGUCUAGAAACUCCUUCUGCUAAAAAAUUAACAGAUAUAGGAAUUCGAAGAAUCUUUUCUCCAGAGCAUGACAUUUUCCGGAAAAGUGUAAGGAAGUUUUUCCAAGAAGAAGUGAUUCCUUAUCACUCAGAAUGGGAGAAAGCUGGAGAAGUAAGUAGGGAGGUUUGGGAAAAAGCUGGAAAACAAGGACUGCUUGGUGUCAAUAUUGCAGAGCAUCUUGGUGGAAUUGGAGGGGAUCUGUACUCCGCAGCUAUUGUCUGGGAGGAGCAGUAAGUAUGGAGACUUUUAAGGUUGAGUCUUGUUUUGUAAACACACCACUCACCUUUCUGAAAUGACCAAACAAACAAACAAACAUUUCUAAUCUUGGAAGAUUGAAAAUUCAGUGUAAAAUGUAAAAGAUUAUACCGCUCAUGCACUCUUGCACAUUUUUUGAAUGUGGGAUAAUAAGAAAAUCCUUUUAAGUUGCUGAAAUAGGUGCUAUUGAAAAUUAAAGAGAUAGUUUUUUUUCCCGUCAAUGCUUAUGGUUACUUUUCCCCCUUAGAAAAGAUAUUUGAAAGAGAACAGCAGAGUAGAAAUAUACUUCCAUCAAAUAUAUUAGAAUUUUAAUAUACAAGAACAAAUAAAGAUUGCAGUUGAAAAAUGGGCAAAGAAUUUGAAGCAAUAAUUCAUCAAAAAAGAAAUGCAAAUAGGUUUUUUUAAAUGAGAAAAGUUCAUCCUUAGUAACAAUCAAAUGCAAAUUAAACUGAUCU
rnacentral:sRNA from 1 species